GGGGCUGUACCUCAAGUGGUAGAGUGCUCGCUUAGCAUGUGAGAGGUAUAAGGAUCGAUACCCUGCUGCUCCA